rnacentral:lncRNA from 1 species
CCCCUGUAGGCUCUUCGGCUUCGUGGCCCGGAAGCAGGGCAGCACCACAGACAACGCUUGCCACCUCUUCGCAGAGCUUGACCCCAACCAGCCUGCGUCUGCCAUUGUCAACUUCGUCUCCAAGGUCAUGCUGAGUGCUGGCCAAAAGAGAUGAACGAAUCCUGGAGCCCUUGCCCAAGGCUGGGGCACUGGGGACGGGGUGUGUGGGGAGGGAUCUGCGAAUCCUGACCACCUUGAAUCCAGAACGAGGGCUUUGGGUCGACCGUGGAGAAGGAGAGAAGAAAGUGCAAUGCUGGGAGAGGGAAGUGAAUUGUGGAGGGAGGGAGGGGAACAGGAGGAAGAGGAAGGAAGGAAGAAGAGAGGAACUCGAAAUCCCCUGUACAGAUGGAAGCCACACCUCCCAAAGCCUCUCCAGCUAGCUGGGGCCCCUCCCCCUCACCUCCCAAAGCCUCUCCAGCUAGCUGGGGCCCCUCCCCCUCCGAGAGAAUUGAGCUCCCACAGGCACACAGCCCUUGGGGGGACCCUAUUUCAUGGAGCAACAAAAAAGCUCGUUCUCCCUAACGCUCCUGCUUUGAGAAGAAGUCGAACUGAGGCUUCUUCUCUGGAGGUAAGGUUGCUGGUGGCCAGCUUAUGACAUCAAGCAGUGACACUUUUUCACAUUUUGCUCACCCGAGGCACCCCUGGUCUGUGCUUGCUCUGACUCCUUGUUGCAGGGUCCAAAUGUACUCCCACACGCUGAUCGAUACCUGCCUGUGUCCACUCAACUCAGAUUACAAACAGCUCUGCUUUGUCUGUGUCCCCUGUGAUACACAUAUACACACUGCCCAAAGAAGGCUAGGGAUAUAGGGUGGCAGGACCCCCCCCCCCCGGUCAGAUGACAAGCUGUCUCCUGCAGGAGUCUAGCUUAUGGGUACAGAGUUCUCUCCGCACCUGCCCUCUAGUGGCUCUGGGGGCCUCCAGCCUGUCCUCCGCAGAGACUCUGGUACAGAGGGCAUGGCCGCUAGCAGCAUUCGAGCUGUUCUGUCUCCUGGAGACUGAAGUUGGCUUGGAGGAAGAGGUGAUGGCCACAGUCUGGGGAAGAAUACCCGUUAGGAAGGGUGGCAUCUUUUUUUGCGAUGUGGGGCUCACGGUGAAUUGGGCAGGCGCACUGUGCUGUGGGCUCAUGAGUUGGGCAUGCGCACUGACAAUGCCCAGGACUGCCUUACUCCCUUCCCUCAGCCCAAUUCUGGGCCAGCACUAUCCUUGCACUUGCUCAUCUUCUUGAAGCGUACUGGGGGAUAGGGGCCGUGCCUUUCUGACCUAUCCUGUCCUAAAGAGUCCUCAUGUUCGCUUAUCCCAGGAGCCUGCUUCCCGAAGUCCUGCCUAGGGCACCUGGGGGAGCCCCUCCCCUCUGUUUUCCCCUCUGUAAGUGUUUUGGAGUCUGAUAUUGCAGACACUCUCUGUCUGGGCUGCUCAGGGUGACAUCAGAGCACCUCUGGGAAUGCUGCUGGAGAACUACAUGGUCCUCCCACAGUACCAAAGCUUCCCUGUUUCCCCUUCUGCCUCGGUCUCCCCAGCAGAACCAUGCUGUCUGUGGGACAGGGGACAGAAGGUAUGAAUUUAGGCCAAAGGUCCUAUGGUCCAUUUGCGGGGUUGCGAAGGCUCCUGCCACUGCUCGGGCCUCCAUUUAAGCGCAUGGGGGUCCUCAGGGGUGGCAUUGUACUGAUAUAUAAAUAUAUAUAAUAUAUACAUGAGACAUACUGAUAGAAUCUGUAAGCUAAUAAAAAAUAUAAGAAAAAGGUUAAAAAAAGAAUAGGUAAAUUGACAAGAAAUAUUUAUUGUUUUCCCAUAUUGCUUUAUUGUCCCUGGCCACAAACUGUUCCUACCUGUUUUCUAACAGUAAGUAGUGCCUGACCUGCAGGGGGUCUUUAUAUUCCAAACAACCCAGGGCUAGCCUUGGCCUUGGCCCUGGCCUUGGCUGCCCUAGGCUACAUCUGUGGGAUGGCAUGCUCCAGUUCUGGCAAACGGCAGCACAGUUGCCAACAUCCCGUAUGCGUGGACAGCUAGCCACUUCCAACCCCUCAGGCCUGAGCCAGGGUGUAUUUGGAGAUCAGGGUGUGUGUGGCCAUGGUGUGGCGUCUCUUGGAUUGUUUUCCUCCUCCAGGGAGCUUUGACUGUGUGGACAUUGUUUAAGGAGCUAAAGAAGGCCGGUGAGGAUCAGGAGCCCUCACUUCCCAAAGAAUAAAUGGGCUGAGUGAUCAAGGCUCUUCCAAGUGUCCUUCCCUCUGAGAUACUCAAGGCAAAUGUCUGGAUUUCCCAUUUCCUCAUCCCCCUAACGAAUUGUACUUCUCCCCACGAUAGAAGGAGCUGCUUCUCAUCCCUUUCUUUGUAAAUGAAAGACUCCCAUGUAGUCUGGGGAGUCUCCUCCUAGCUGGAAUGUUGUUCACUUGAGCCUUGGAGAAGCAUCAGAGCCUCUGCAUCCUGCCCUGGACCAGACUCAAGUCUAGGAUCAGCCUUCAUGGAUGGUCUCACCUUCCCAUGCUGUGCUCAGGCCCAAGCCACGUGUGAGUCGAGUGAAUGACCAAGGCAGAUGCUAGCAAGCGGGCGCCUCCUUCUCAGCCUGCCUCUAGGAAGAAUGGACACCAGAGUUUGGCUUUUCUGGAAGAAUGGUGGAGGGGACCUCACUUCUCACAGUGGGAACCACACUGUUGUCUGUCCCCUUCCUAAGUGUGAUUCUCACAGAUGGGCUCCUGCACACUCACAUACGUGCGCAUGCACACACACACACACAUACACACAGAGAGACCACAUGCACACAGAGCACUCCGUAUGCAACUCUGUAUUCUUGCCAAAGACUUCCUUUAAACGAGAGCACUUUUACCCACUGCUCUUUUGUGAAUGAUCUGUUUUGUUGUUGUUUAUUGUUGAAUCUCUAUAUCAACAGGGAGAGUGUUGUCCAUUCUUAGACAGGAAUGAAAGAGGGGGAGGGGUGACAGGAGAACAUGGCGGCCAGUGAUGCCCUUAACAAGACCCCUUAGGAACAGCCCAGGUACAAACAGCCUCCGGCCACUCGGAAGAUCUGAGGUUGGAGGUGAGAUGGCAGAGAAGGGCACUGAUGGAGCCAGGAUUGGUGCCUAGGGAAGUCCCCGAUGGCUCUGGGGGUGGGGACAGGUGUGAAGAGCUGGGUUGGAACAGGGUGGACAUGAAGACUGGGAAAAUUAACAGUUGCAUACUGAAGUUGUUACUGUGGACCCCUGGUUACCUUGCCCUGCCAUGUUUUAGGAAAGAAUCCAAAUUUUAGUUUUGAAAGGGGGCAUUUGAGUCUUCUCACCUUACCGAUUCCUAGCAGCUUAGAUAGCCUCAGGCAUGAGUGCCAGGAUUCCUGAUAGGCCCUGGCUUUGGAGAGUCCCUAGGGAUAGCCCCUCUGGGGGUGUAGGGAGGACACUGUGGCUGUGCAUCCCUCUAAUGAGGGGCUUUCAGGAGAGAGAACCCUCCUGCUGCAGGGAAGUGCAGGAGAGACAAGUGAGUGGGCCGCAUCCUCCUGCCUCUGGGUUUUCUUCAUCCUACCUCCCGGGACAUCUGACCCCCUUUUCCCAGCUUCAGAUCUCGGGGAGAUCCAUCUAAGGGAAUCAGCCCUCUCCUGCCUCCAUGGCUUGGGUCCCUGAAGAGCUUGGAACCCAAAGCUAGGGCCCACCCCUGCACUUAGGCCUUGGACGAAGAUCUUGAGACUGGUGUUUCUGUGGUCACUGGUGGACAGGAUGUAUGUGCGUGCGCGUGUGUGUAAGUGUGGGUGUGUGUGCGUGCUCUGCUCAUCUCUAGGGAACUUCGAGGUGGGAAGUGGGAGGUGGGAGGUGGAGGGACCCAGUAGUGAGAAGAACUAGGAGGUGAGGCCUAAUGGGCCGCAGAUUGGUCAUGUUUUGGUGCUGAUGACAGAGGGGCCAGUCCCAGGGGAGGAGGCUUGGCGGGCCACUUUCUUGUCUCCUGUCUCAUCAAACUUGGAGCGUCUCAGUCAUUUUCCAUGCCUGGGCCCCUCACAGCAGCAAGGCCACAGAAGUUCGACACACCCAGUGUGUGUCAGUGUUCACAGUCCAGCCCUCCCUGAGGACCCACAUUUGGCUCGUAUGUGUGUGAGCACGUUGGGGUGCGCAUGAGGUAUCUCCCCAGUCUCUUCCCUUCUGUCACCCGAAUCAAAUGUAAGACGUCCCUCACAUCCUGAUCAUCCCAACUCUGCCUCCCAGGCCCUCUGCUGGGAAACCCAUAUCCGGAGUCCAUGCCCUGCCCCUGCCCCCGGCUGUGUAUUUAUAGAUGGAAAUAUACUUUAUAUUUUGUAUCAUUGUGCCUAUAGCCUCUGCCACCUUGUAUAAACCCUGAUGUAUGCUAAGUGUUCUGGACAUGAAUGUAUGUACACUGAUGCUGUCCCCUCUGUACAGCUGCUUACUCUCACCAUCCAUGUAUGGCUUUAUAAAGGAUAAAGUUAAACACAAACCC